UGCUGCUUAGUUUAACGGAAGAAUGUCUGUUCAAAUCGGAAGGUUGUGAGUUCGACUCUCAUAGCAGCAA
rnacentral:tRNA from 1 species